UCCCUGGUGGUCCAGUGGUUAAGACUCCGUGCUUCCACUGCAAGGGCCCAGGUUCAAUUCCUGGUCAGGGAA